AUACGGGGGAUGCGAGCGUUAUCCGGAUUUAUUGGGUUUAAAGGGUGCGUAGGCGGUCCGGUAAGUCAGCCGUGAAAAGCCCCCGCUCAACGGGGGUCGUGCGUUUGAUACUGUUGGACUGGAAUGCGGAUGCCGUGGGAGGAAUGUGUGGUGUAGCGGUGAAAUGCAUAGAUAUCACACAGAACACCGAUUGCGAAGGCAUCUCACGAAUCCGCAAUUGACGCUGAGGCACGAAAGCGCGGGUAUC
rnacentral:rRNA from 1 species